UCGACAACGAGGUCAUCUGCCCUGCCCACCAUGAUUUCCCAUAGAACAAGAAGGUGCCUCAUGUGGAUUUUAUGGCUUAAGCCAAGAGGAGAAAGAAAGGGCUCUGCAUAUGAAAAGAUACCAACAUUAUUGUUUCCAUGAAAUUGGUUGGAAGAAAAGAAGAAGAUCCAGAGAAGAUCUUAGUAAUAAGAUAGUUUUUAGGAAAAUAGAUAUUUAGUUUUAGGUCAUUUCUUCUAAUUUCAGAUAUGGAAUGCUUGUCUUUAGUUUUUGUUUUGACUUUGUGAAACUUGCUAACUAUGGAUGAAACUGUGUAAUAUUGAUGAAACUAUGUAUAUGUAUGGAUGAAACUUGCUACUA